rnacentral:tRNA from 1 species
GGGCCUGUAGUGUAGUGGUAUCACACAAGGCUGGCAGUCUUGAAAUCCGAGUUCGAUUCUCGGCAGGUCCA